ensembl:Mt_tRNA
GAGAAAACUCACAAGGAUUGCUAACCCAUGUACCCGUACCUAAAAUUACGGUUUUCUCA